GUGAAGAAUGAACCUGGACAGUCUCUGGGAAGCCGUGCUCACUCUGAGCUGUGCCCGAGUGCCAAGAAGAGCCAGUCCAACAAGUGCUUAUGGAGCUAGACAGGAUUGGGCAUAGUCCUUGACCUCACAUGUGUACCGGGCUCUGUCUACCUCACAUCCCAGGUUUCCUUUGAUGCCGACUUUCUACCCUUGUUCCACCCCCUCCCCUCUCUUGUGUGUAGACUCUAUGCAUAUGUGUACAUGUUUAUGCCCCAUGCUGGUCCUCAGGGGAGUGUGCGUAGGCUGGAAGUUAAAGCUGGAUAUCUCUUCGCUGCUCUCUACCUUAGUUUGAAAGUCUAUUGCUGAACCCACAGUUUCUCCACUUUGGCUAAACUGGCUAGCUAAGCCCUGGCACCUCCACCCCCAUUCACCUGCUGGGGUUACAAAUGUUGUUGAGAUUUUUUUUUUGGUAACAUGGGUGCUGGAGAUUUGAACCCAGGUCCUUAUGCUUGAGCAACAAGUACGCUGCUCGCUGGACUUUCUCUCCAGUCAGCACACCCUCAGGUUUAAAGGAGUUCAUUGAUAGCCUUUCUCCCUCCACAUAUUCUUAGCAAUGAGUGAAGGGGGUUUGUGUCUGCUGUUUCCCACCUGCCCUGCCAGGCGCCUUGGGCCACCCACCCAGCUUCCUGUACAAGGUCACCGCUUCUCUCCUGAGCUCUGCUGCUUCUUGGCCCCUACAGCUGCAAGCAGGAUCUCAUCAACUCUCAGGAUGAGAGCACAGGAUUCAUUUUUCCAGGGAUUCAGGGAAGCCUAGAGUCCUUUUCAUCAGGACCAGACCCAGUGGACACAACAGUAUGGAUGCUGGGUUUGCAGCAAAUUCUCUCUGUUAGCUGAAGUUCUCAGGGGAAAAAAAAGGCUAUCUACAUUAACCAUUGCAACUUCUGUGACCCUAGAAAGUUGGAAUGUUACAGGUCAGGGAGCUGAAUUAUCUUUGGCUAUCUUAGUCCCUAAAUAACCAUGGAUUCCCUACCACUGUGCGCAAUCUAACACCAUUGUGACUGUUAUGUAAAUCCUUUUGGAAUGUAUAAACAGACCCCAGCUUCCCUAACUCAAAGGCUAAAAAUGUCACCAGAUAAGUCUGAGAUGUAGAGUCAACAUUACCAUAUCUUACCUACCUGGUGUUCCCACCAAUUUGUUCCACACAUUGAUGCAAAAUUGUUCUUGUUUAAAAUUUCCUUUGUUCAGCUACUAUAAAAACUGUAUGGAAUUGUUAUCAUGUUGGAAUACAGAAUUUAAGGCAACCUGAAUCCGUGUUUCCC